GGGUGACUGCAAUCUAUGAGGCAUCGGCCGCCCUACCCUGCUGAGUUUCCUGCGCCCGACCCCAGGGAGCAGAACGAGGUACCUCUUUACCCUCCACCAGAAGAGCCGCUAAGGAUGAUUGACCUAAGAAUGCAUAGCUACCAAAUGAUUAAAAGGCUCAGAUUUGUGUCUUAGGAUGUGUGGUUUGAAAAAUCCCAUGAAAAAUGGGUCGAACCAAAAUUUAGGAAUG
rnacentral:lncRNA from 1 species